rnacentral:rRNA from 1 species
GACGAACGCUGGCGGCGUGCCUAAUACAUGCAAGUCGAACGAAGCUUUUUUAACUGGUGCUUGCACCGACUUAAACAACUGAGUGGCGAACGGGUGAGUAACACGUGGGUAACCUGCCCCAAAGCGGGGGAUAACAUUUGGAAACAGAUGCUAAUACCGCAUAACCACAGAAACCACAUGGUUUCUGUAUCAAAGAUGGUUUCGGCUAUCACUUUGGGAUGGACCCGCGGCGUAUUAGCUAGUUGGUAAGGUAAUGGCUUACCAAGGCAAUGAUACGUAGCCGAACUGAGAGGUUGAUCGGCCACAUUGAGACUGAGACACGGCCAAAACUCCUACGGGAGGCAGCAGUAGGGAAUCUUCCACAAUGGACGAAAGUCUGAUGAAGCAACGCCGCGUGAGUGAAGAAGGUUUUCGGAUCGUAAAACUCUGUUGUCAGAGAAGAACGUGUGCGAGAGUAACUGUUCGUGCAGUGACGGUAUCUGGCCAGAAAGCCACGGCUAACUACGUGCCAGCCGCCGCGGUAA